GACGAACGCUGGCGGCGUGCUUAACACAUGCAAGUCGAACGGAAAGGCCCUGCUUUUGUGGGGUGCUCGAGUGGCGAUCGGGUGAGUAACACGUGAGUAACCUGCCCUUGACUUUGGGAUAACUUCAGGAAACUGGGGCUAAUACCGGAUAGGAGCUCCUGCUGCAUGGUGGGGGUUGGAAAGUUUCGGCGGUUGGGGAUGGACUCGCGGCUUAUCAGCUUGUUGGUGGGGUAGUGGCUUACCAAGGCUUUGACGGGUAGCCGGCCUGAGAGGGUGACCGGCCACAUUGGGACUGAGAUACGGACCAGACUCCUACGGGAGGCAGCAGUGGGGAAUAUUGCACAAUGGGCGGAAGCCUGAGGCAGCAACGCCGCGGGCGGGAAGACGGCCUUCGGGUUAUAAACCGCUUUCGCCUGUGACGAAGCGUGAGUGACGGUAAUGGAUAAAGAAGCACCGGCUAACUACGUG
rnacentral:rRNA from 1 species